rnacentral:rRNA from 1 species
UACGAAGGGGGCUAGCGUUGUUCGGAAUUACUGGGCGUAAAGCGCACGUAGGCGGACAUUUAAGUCAGGGGUGAAAUCCCGGGGCUCAACCCCGGAACUGCCUUUGAUACUGGGUGUCUAGAGUAUGGAAGAGGUGAGUGGAAUUCCGAGUGUAGAGGUGAAAUUCGUAGAUAUUCGGAGGAACACCAGUGGCGAAGGCGGCUCACUGGUCCAUUACUGACGCUGAGGUGCGAAAGCAUGGGGAGCGAACAUG